rnacentral:rRNA from 1 species
GAUCCUGGCACAGAUUGAACGCUGGCGGCAUGCUUUACACAUGCAAGUCGAACGGCAGCACAGGGAGCUUGCUCCCGGGUGGCGAGUGGCGCACGGGUGAGUAAUACAUCAGAACGUGUCCUGUUGUGGGGGAUAACUGCUCGAAAGGGUGGCUAAUACCGCAUGAGACCUGAGGGUGAAAGCGGGGGAUCGCAAGACCUCGCGCAAUUGGAGCGGCCGAUGCCCGA